GCUGAAAGGCAGGAGUGCCCGCGAGGGAGCGCGGAGACAGGUGGUGCAUGGCUGUCGUCAGCUCGUGUCGUGAGAUGUUGGGUUAAGUCCCGCAACGAGCGCAACCCUCACCCCUUGUUGCUACCAGGUAAAGCUGGGCACUCUAGGGGAACUGCCCCGGUCAACGGGGAGGAAGGCGGGGAUGACGUCAAGUCAUCAUGCCCCUUACGUCCUGGGCUACACACGUGCUACAAUGGCCGGUACAAAGGGAUGCCACACCGCGAGGUAGAGCUAAACCCAAAAAGCCGGUCUAAGUUCAGAUUGGAGUCUGCAACUCGACUCCAUGAAGGAGGAAUCGCUAGUAAUCGCGUAUCAGCACGACGCGGUGAAUACGUUCCCGGGCCUUGUACACACCGCCCGUCACACCACGAAAGCCAG
rnacentral:rRNA from 1 species